CUCUGCGUAGACACACGUGAAACUGCAUUAGUAAAUUUGCUGUCUGACUGCCUUUAUUACGUACGAAACAAAAAACAUUUAAAACAACUCUGAUUAUUUGGACCCAAAACAUUCUAAUUCAUAUAUAACUUGCCAGGUGGCUUGCUUUACUUACCUGAAUGAUAAUAUUUAUUCUAGACCCGUCAUUUUUUUAAACCUUUAAGGGAAAACUGUCACUUCUCUGAAAUUUAAAC